rnacentral:pre_miRNA from 1 species
AAUAGGAGAAUGACAAAUCAUAUUUUUUCUCUUAAUUUUUAGCUUUUUCCUCAAAAAAAAAUUAAAUCCAAUUAAAAAUAUUAAAAAUGAGGAGAAAAAAUUUGUUUUGUUAUUCCUUUAUU